rfam:Heterocephalus glaber contig139670, whole genome shotgun sequence.
GUCUACAGCUGUACCGCCCUGAAUGUGCUUGAUCUCCUCUGAUCUUGGAAGCUAAGCAGGGUCGGGCCUGGUUAGUACUUGGAUGGGCAACUGUAGAGGUACCAUUAUUCUCCGUGGGGA